rnacentral:rRNA from 1 species
CCUACGGGAGGCAGCAGUGAGGAAUAUUGGUCAAUGGACGAGAGUCUGAACCAGCCAAGUAGCGUGAAGGAUGACUGCCCUAUGGGUUGUAAACUUCUUUUAUAUGGGAAUAAAACAGGGUAUGCAUACCCUCUUGUAUGUACCAUAUGAAUAAGGAUCGGCUAACUCCGUGCCAGCAGCCGCGGUAAUACGGAGGAUCCGAGCGUUAUCCGGAUUUAUUGGGUUUAAAGGGAGCGUAGGUGGAUUGUUAAGUCAGUUGUGAAAGUUUGCGGCUCAACCGUAGAAUUGCAGUUGAAACUGGCAGGCUUGAGUACAGGAGAGGUGGGCGGAAUUCGUGGUGUAGCGGUGAAAUGCUUAGAUAUCACGAAGAACUCCGAUUGCGAAGGCAGCUCACUGGACUGCAACUGACACUGAUGCUCGAAAGUGUGGGUAUCAAACAGGAUUAGAUACCCCUGUAGUC